GACGAACGCUGGCGGCGUGCUUAACACAUGCAAGUCGAACGGAAAGGCCCUCCUUUUUUGGGUUCCUCGAUUGGCGAACGGGUGAGUAACCGUUAGGUAACCUGCCCUGAACUUUGGGAUACCUCCAGGAAACUGGGGUCAUUACCGGCUAGUACCUCCUGCUGCUGGGUGUGGUUUGGAAAUUUGCGGCGGUCGGGGUUGGACUCGCGGCUUAUCGGCUUGUUGGUGGGUUAGUGUCUUACCAAGGCUUUGACGGGUAGCCGGCCUGAGAGGGUGACCGGCCACAUUGGGACUGAGAUACGGCCCAGACUCCUACGGGAGGAAGCGGUGGGGAAUAUUGCACAAUGGGCGGAAGCCUGAUGCAGCAACGCCGCGUGCGGGAUGACGGCCUUCGGGUUGUAAACCGCUUUCGCCUGUGACGAAGCGUGAGUGACGGUAAUGGGUAAAGAAGCACCGGCUAACUACGUG
rnacentral:rRNA from 1 species